rnacentral:rRNA from 1 species
UAGGGAAUCUUGGACAAUGGGCGAAAGCCUGAUCCAGCCAUGCCGCGUGUGUGAUGAAGGCCUUAGGGUUGUAAAGCACUUUCGCUAGGGAAGAUAAUGACGGUACCUAGAUAAGAAGCCCCGGCUAACUUCGUGCCAGCAGCCGCGGUAAUACGAAGGGGGCUAGCGUUGUUCGGAAUUACUGGGCGUAAAGCGCACGUAGGCGGCAUUCCAAGUUGGAGGUGAAAUCCCCGGGCUUAACCUGGGAACU